rnacentral:rRNA from 1 species
AACGAACGCUGGCGGCAUGCCUAACACAUGCAAGUCGAACGAGACCUUCGGGUCUAGUGGCGCACGGGUGCGUAACGCGUGGGAACCUGCCCUUAGGUUCGGAAUAACUCCCCGAAAGGGGUGCUAAUACCGGAUAAUGUCUUCGGACCAAAGAUUUAUCGCCUUUGGAUGGGCCCGCGUUGGAUUAGCUAGUUGGUAGGGUAAAAGCCUACCAAGGCGACGAUCCAUAGCUGGUCUGAGAGGAUGAUCAGCCACACUGGGACUGAGACGCGGCCCAGACUCCUACGGGAGGCAGCAGUGGGGAAUAUUGGACAAUGGGCGAAAGCCUGAUCCAGCAAUGCCGCGUGAGUGAUGAAGGCCUUAGGGUUGUAAAGCUCUUUUACCCGGGAUGAUAAUGACAGUACCGGGAGAAUAAGCACCGGCUAACUCCGUG